GUGGUAUGCUGUGGAGGGGAUUCUAGCUUUAGCUCUGCCACUAAAAAGCAGCUGGACUUUAGGUCAGUUGAUUGGCAUCCCUAGGUCUUGGUUUCUUCAUUUACAGAUGAAAGAAAAGUCUUUGCCCCUGUUCCAGGAUGCUCUCAAAACUGUUUUUUAUCCUUCUAACCACCAGGCUUUAUUCCAUCCAAGGGAGAACAAUAUAAAUGAACAGUGCUGCUUCUGGAGGUCUCAUCUAAUGAGGGCUGAAAAACUCUUUCUUAAGGGACCAGAGAGUAAAUAUUUCAAUUUUGUGAGGCAAAAUUGAGUGAAUUACGUAAGUAUUUAUGUAACAUUUAAAAAUGUAACUAUUAGGAAAUGUAAAACCCAUUCUUGUGAGUGAUAUAAAAACAAGUGGUGGGUUGAAUUUGGCCCUGCUGUGGUUGUCCACCCCUGCUCUAGAGGAAUAAUAUACACAGAUAAUCACACCCCAAUCCACAAGACAGAGGUUUUGGUAAGCUGGCUUGGUGUCCACGUCGGCCAGGCAGUCCCGGCGGAAGCUGUCAAAAAAGCCCCGUCUCUUGAGCUGUUCCACGAUGAGAGCGAUGAGCAGCGGGUCGCCGGGAGGCAGCGAGGCCGGGUUGACCGGGCCACCGCCCCCGCUGUCCCCAGUAGCACCAGUCGCUGCCCCGGCAGAGGCCUGGCCGGCUCCGCCACCGCCCACCACGCCCAUUCCCCCGCCGCCGCCGCGGUCCGCCAUGGCUCUGCCCCGGGCCCGCAAGGGAGACCGACCAUAGCUUCUUCUCCACGACAGAAGGCCUUGAACGUGUAGAGGUGGCGAACGGAGCGGUGAAGGAGGAGGGCCCCAAGGAGGCAGCGGCGGAGGUAUGGAAACCACCGCCUGGGAUUAAAGCAUCAGUGAAGAUGCUGCUUUGGAGAGAUUCAGAUUUUAGAGAAGAAAGGAGGUCAUGAGAGAUCAUUACUUUAUCACUGAACUGGUAAGAAUUAUAAAGAGGUUGCUUUUUGCUUUUCUUGUAUAUAUGCACUACAUUCGUUUUUUUUUUUUGGUGUGACAACAGUGUUUAUAAAGGACCAAACAUUCACUCUGCUAAUGACAGUUGACAUUUCUAGUCAUCUGAGAAACAAGGAUGCUUAAUUUCAAGAGAUGUGCAUCAAGAUGGUACCAAUGGGUACAGAGUGUAGACUCUUUGGGAAAUUAAACACUCAGAAUGGAUACAGGUUAAAUUUAGCUCAAAACACACUUAACAUAUACAGUAGGGCAGUUUGUCUGCAAUGCCUAACUAUUCUUUAUGCCCAUGACCUUGGUUCAUUUAUCUCCCCAGAAUUCGAUCAGGAGUAGCCUCUUGCCACAGCGGUGGCAAGUCUGCUGCCAAGUGGCUAGCCUAUUACUGGAAGCUUUGAUAAAAUAAAGAUCUUGAUUCAAUAGCGCAGGGGUGGAAUCUGAGACUCUGCAUUUCUAAUUAGUUUCUGGGUGAUGCCAAGGCUGCUGGUCCCAGGGUCACACUUUGAGUAGCAAGGGACCAAGUCACAGAGACAGGGGGAGUUAAGAGCCCAGACACCUUAAUUGUGUAGCUGAUGUGAAUGUCUGGGAGCUUCUGGUGCAGAGAAUCCCAGACAAGCCCUAAUUUGUCCUCCGAGUCCUGUUUGUCCCAUUUUUAUUUUCCCCCUGCACUUCCAUGGAUUCCACAAGAGAUGUGUCCUUGAACAGAGCCCCUUUUCUGAGCUAAUUUAAGGGGAUUCUAUCCUUUUCUUGCAACCAGAUGAGCCCUUGCUAGUUCAAGAAACAAUUACAUCAGUAUUUAGAGAAGAGUCCACAGGUUAGGCGUGUAUGAGGUACAAAUAACCAGACUCUGCCUUCCCCUGCCUAUGGCCUGUAACUUUCUCUUUCUUCCUUACCUCUCCAUCAGCUGAACACUUCGUCUGUGCCUUCAGGGCAAGACCUUCUUUUGACCCUGUUAGCUUACUCAUUUCUCUAAUCGACUUGUCUAGUUAAGAGAUAUAGUUUCAGAAUGGAAACACCUCCAGUACUACAAAGUGAAGAAAGCAGAACAUUUAGCUGUUUCAUAUAAAAACAAUCUGAAAAUACAGUAAAUGAAUCCAUGGCUAAAAGGCUAAACAGUAAAUUUAUUUGCAAAGUGAAUCACACAUCAGUCGUGCUUUUACUGUAGCCCAGAAUAAUUUCUAGUUAUA
rnacentral:lncRNA from 1 species